rnacentral:rRNA from 1 species
GACUACUCGGGUAUCUAAGCCGGUUCGCUCCCCACGCUUUCGCACCUGAGCGUCAGAACAGGCCCAGUUCGCUGCUUUCGCCCUUGGUGUUCCUGCCGAUCUCUACGCAUUUCACCACUACACCGGCAAUUCCACGAACCUCUGCCUGCCUCGAGCCGGGCCGUAUGGGAUGGCGUCUGGCAGUUAAGCCGCCAGGUUUCACACCCCACGUGCCCAGCCGCCUGCGUGCGCUUUACGCCCAGUCAAUCCGGACAACGCUUGGCUCCUCUGUCUUACCGCGGCUGCUGGCACAGAGUUAGCCGAGCCUGAUUCGCGGGGUACAGUCACAAUCGUCCCCCGCAAAAGGAGUUUACAACCCGAAGGCCGUCGUCCUCCACGCGGCGUUGCUCGGUCAGGCUUGCGCCCAUUGCCGAAAAUUCCUUACUGCAGCCCCCCGUAGG